rnacentral:lncRNA from 1 species
AGAGGGGGAGUGAUUUUAUUGAUGUGGCUAAGGAGAAACAAAUCGUGGCUCGUACGGUAGAAGGAGCAGAACAAGUGACUGCAGCAGAUGGUGUUUUUUUGGCGAUGGAGGAAAGUAAGUCUGCAGAGGCAAAUGAGUCUAAUGUACAAGGGGGACUCAACGAAAGUAACAAUGCAGAGGGUGAUCAACCGGUGACAGUUAGCACUGAAGAAGUAAAAGAACCAGAUUUAGGAAGAGGUCAUAGAAAAAAGAUCCCUUCAGUG